UUUCCGUAGGUGAACCUGCGGAAGGAUCAUUAGUGAUUUGGCCGAGAGGCCUUCAAAUCCAAUCCUCACACCUGUGAACACGUCGGUCGGGUCUAGGCCCGCCGGAUCAUACAACACUAUGUGUAAAGAACGUGAAAUGUAUAACAACAAAUAAAACUUUCAACAACGGAUCUCUUGGCUCUCGCAUCGAUGAAGAACGCAGC
rnacentral:misc_RNA from 1 species